UGCAUAAAUAUUUCGUUACACAGGGUACAAAAAUACUUUCACUUUUUGGUUGGUUGCGAAGUCUGGAGAGAACGAGGAGCGGCGGCAGGGCUGGGGGGUGGGUGGGGGAAAGGUAAACA